rnacentral:piRNA from 1 species
UCCAAAGAAGCCCCGGAGUCCAUGAAUGGA